AGAGUUUGAUCCUGGCUCAGGACGAACGCUGGCGGCAUGCCUAAUACAUGCAAGUCGAACGCUUUGAUUUCACCGGGUGCUUGCACCCACCGAAAUCAAGGAGUGGCGGACGGGUGAGUAACACGUGGGUAACCUGCCCAUAAGUGGGGGAUAACAUUCGGAAACGGAUGCUAAUACCGCAUAUUUCUAAUCGCCUCCUGGCGAACUGAAAAAAGGUGGCUUCGGCUACCGCUUAUGGAUGGACCCGCGGCGUAUUAGCUAGUUGGUGAGGUAAUGGCUCACCAAGGCGAUGAUACGUAGCCGACCUGAGAGGGUGAUCGGCCACACUGGGACUGAGACACGGCCCAGACUCCUACGGGAGGCAGCAGUAGGGAAUCUUCCGCAAUGGACGAAAGUCUGACGGAGCAAUGCCGCGUGAGUGAAGAAGGUUUUCGGAUCGUAAAACUCUGUUGUUAGAGAAGAACAAGGAUGAGAGUAACUGCUCAUCCCCUGACGGUAUCUAACCAGAAAGCCACGGCUAACUACGUGCCAGCAGCCGCGGUAAUACGUAGGUGCAAGCGUUGUCCGGAUUUAUUGGGCGUAAAGCGAGCGCAGGCGGUUCUUUAAGUCUGAUGUGAAAGCCCCCGGCUCAACCGGGGAGGGUCAUUGGAAACUGGAGAACUUGAGUGCAGAAGAGGAGAGUGGAAUUCCACGUGUAGCG
rnacentral:rRNA from 1 species